CCUACGGGUGGCAGCAGUGAGGAAUAUUGGUCAAUGGACGCAAGUCUGAACCAGCCAUGCCGCGUGCAGGAUGACUGCCCUAUGGGUUGUAAACUGCUUUUAUAUGGGAAUAAAAUGUGCCACGUGUGUCAUGUUGUAUGUAUCAUACGAAUAAGGAUCGGCUAACUCCGUGCCAGCAGCCGCGGUAAUACGGAGGAGCCGAGCGUUAUCCGGAUUUAUUGGGUUUAAAGGGAGCGUAGGUGGUUUGUUAAGUCAGUUGUGAAAGUUUGGGGCUCAACCGUGAAAUUGCAGUUGAUACUGGCAGUCUAGAGUAUAGUAGAGGUGGGCGGAAUUCAUGGUGUAGCGGUGAAAUGCUUAGAGAUCACGAAGAACACCGAUUGCGAAGGCAGCUCACUGGACUGUAACUGACGCUGAGGCUCGAAAGUGUGGGUAGCAAACAGGAUUAGAUACCCUAGUAGUC
rnacentral:rRNA from 1 species